rnacentral:tRNA from 2 species
AAUAAAGUGCCUGAUCUAAAGGCUUGCUUUGAUAGAGCAAAUAAUGUACUAAUAUACCUUUAUUA